GACGAACGCUGGCGGCGUGCUUAACACAUGCAAGUCGAACGGAAAGGCCCUGCUUUUGUGGGGUGCUCGAGUGGCGAACGGGUGAGUAACACGUGAGUAACCUGCCCUUGACUUUGGGAUAACUUCAGGAAACUGGGGCUAAUACCGGAUAGGAGCUCCUGCUGCAUGGUGGGGGUUGGAAAGUUUCGGCGGUUGGGGAUGGACUCGCGGCUUAUCAGCUUGUUGGUGGGGUAGUGGCUUACCAAGGCUUUGACGGGUAGCCGGCCUGAGAGGGUGACCGGCCACAUUGGGACUGAGAUACGGCCCAGACUCCUACGGGAGGCAGCAGUGGGGAAUAGUGCACAAUGGGCGGAAGCCUGAUGCAGCAACGCCGCGUGCGGGAUGACGGCCUUCGGGUUGUAAACCGCUUUCGCCUGUGACGAAGCGUGAGUGGCGGUAAUGGGUAAAGAAGCACCGGCUAACUACGUG
rnacentral:rRNA from 1 species